AUUGAACGCUGGCGGCAGGCCUAACACAUGCAAGUCGAGCGGGGUUUUCGGACCUAGCGGCGGACGGGUGAGUAAUGCGUAGGAAGCUACCCGAUAGAGGGGGAUACCAGUUGGAAACGACUGUUAAUACCGCAUAAUGUCUACGGACCAAAGUGUGGGACCUUCGGGCCACAUGCUAUCGGAUGCGCCUACGUGGGAUUAGCUAGUUGGUGAGGUAAUGGCUCACCAAGGCGACGAUCUCUAGCUGGUUUGAGAGGAUGAUCAGCUACACUGGAACUGAGACACGGUCCAGACUCCUACGGGAGGCAGCAGUGGGGAAUAUUGGACAAUGGGCGCAAGCCUGAUCCAGCCAUGCCGCGUGUGUGAAGAAGGCCUUCGGGUUGUAAAGCACUUUCAGCGAGGAGGAAGGGGUGUGUGUUAAUAGUACACACCUUUGACGUUACUCGCAGAAGAAGCACCGGCUAACUCUGUGCCAGCAGCCGCAGUAAGAC
rnacentral:rRNA from 1 species